GGUUCUUUUCAUCGGAGACGUUGUCCGUGGAGCUUUGGUGCAGUCUUACAGGAAACUCUCUCAGUCUCACCUGACAUUUUUCGGCUCAAAAAUGCCUGAUGAAGUCCAAGCUUCUUCAUAGCAUUACACGUACUUGAUAGCUGCCGUGGAAUUAAGGUUUUCAUGGACGGUUUGAUGAUUGAGCUGUUUGUUUUGAUGUGUCUGUUUGGGGUGCAGUGGUUCUCCAGUAGAGAUGCGUUGAAAUGGAGAUCUUGUGUACUUGUUUAAUGAGUUUCCCCACCAAGGGACAACUUCCUGAUGUUAACAACAUAUGGCACCAGCAAGCUUAUGCCGCUGACGUCAUUUCUGUUGCGGGUGCUGUCAGUUACGGUGUUCGUGGUCAGUCAACUUCAACAUUCUUCUUCACAAAUAUCCUCAAGAUUCAUUAUCAAAAUUUAAAUGCUGAGGUUUUUGAAGAACAGUGAAAGAACUUCAGCUUAAUUCCUAGAUUCUUUGGGUCUUGCCCAUGAUACACAUCUGUUCUUGUCAUUUGAAUUCUUUUUCUUCUUGGCUUUGUUGGCUAAUUGUUGGAUGUAGGAUUAAUGGCUUGGUGAAGUCUAGCUUUUUCAAGGCAGUCCAAUGUCCACUUGGAUUUGUUGCAGCCAGCUGGUUAACGGUGUGGAGAGCUGUUGUAUGAAGACCAUGCGCUGUUGUGAUGAGCUUCUGCCUGCAGUCUGUGGUGCUGGUGGAGGAAGUGCUGUCUUGUAGAGUGUGGUGCUAGCUUUAAAUUAGAAGAACUCACUGCAUUAACAAUUGGGUGUUUUCAAAGUCAGUUUGAGUUUAUUUUGGUGGCUUUAUUUGGUCUGCAGUUGAUGUUAGGGUGGUUUUGUUGCAGCCAGCUGUUGGAAAGUAAGUCAAAUUGAGCUGAAGGUUUUGGAACCAAUCUACAACGCUGGUCUCAUCCUGAACGGGGACAUCAUCUUGAAAUGGACUUAUGACAAACCGAUUCAUCUGCCUUGGUAAUAAUGAUGUAUCAACCUGCUGCAUGCAGUCUAUGCAGCUGGUGUUCUCUUGAAAUUGAAAACUUGAAACGAAGCUGCAAGAAUAUCUGUUGAAAUGAGUGGGGAAAAUGUCCAGCGAUUUUGCGGUCUGACUCUUGUUCAAGUUUCUAUCCUGAAUUGCGCUGAAGUCCUUUCAGUAACUGAUUCUGUUGCCAUCCUGAUGUUGCUGUGCCAGUGGAAUACGAGUUUAUGAAAAGUUUUCUGUAUUUGUGUUUCACCCUGAGUAUGUGUUGAUGAACUUAACGUAUGUAAUAGAACGCUCUAAUCUGAUAUGUUGCAACAUAAUUUAUAACUGUGGUAAUUGUAGAUGAUGAAAUUGCCUCAAUCCUAAUUAGUUCAUUUACAGAUUUUGUAUGAAAGUCAAGUCAGAUUUUUAUUAUACUAGUAAAUUUAUUAUUAAUACAUUUUUUUAUUCAGA